GUGCUCGCUUUGGCAGCACAUAUACAGCACAUGUAAAUUGGAAUGAUACAGAGAAGAUUAGCAUGGCCCCUGUGCAAGGAUGAUGCAAAUUUGUGAAAUGUUCCAUAUUUUG
rnacentral:snRNA from 1 species